CGAACGCUGGCGGCAGGCCUAAUACAUGCAAGUCGAACGGCUCUUCGGAGCAGUGGCGGACGGGUGAGUAACGCGUGGGAAUGUGCCCUUUGGUACGGAACAACACAGGGAAACUUGUGCUAAUACCGUAUGUGCCCUUCGGGGGAAAGAUUUAUCGCCAUUGGAGCAGCCCGCGUUGGAUUAGGUAGUUGGUGAGGUAAAGGCUCACCAAGCCUACGAUCCAUAGCUGGUCUGAGAGGAUGACCAGCCACACUGGGACUGAGACACGGCCCAGACUCCUACGGGAGGCAGCAGUAGGGAAUCUUGCGCAAUGGGCGAAAGCCUGACGCAGCCAUGCCGCGUGUAUGAUGAAGGUCUUAGGAUUGUAAAAUACUUUCACCGGGGAAGAUAAUGACGGUACCCGGAGAAGAAGCCCCGGCCAACCUCGUGCCAGCCGCCGCCGUAAAAC
rnacentral:rRNA from 1 species